AUUGAACGCUGGCGGCAUGCCUAAUACAUGCAAGUCGAGCGAGCGGCGGACGGGUGAUUAAUGUCUGGUAAACUGCCUGAUGGAGGCGGAUAACUACUGGAAACGGUAGCUACUACCGCAUACCGUCCUAUGUGUCCAGGUGGGAUUAGCUAGUGGGGGGGGUAAUGGCUCACCUAGGCGCCGAUCCCUAGCUGGUCUGAGAGGAUGACCAGCCACACUGGAACUGAGACACGGUCCAGACCCCUACGGGAGGCAGCAGUGGGAAAUAUUGGGCAAUGGGCACAAGCCUGAAGCAGUCAAGCCGCGUGAGUGAAGAAGGCUUUCGGGUCGUAAAGCACUUUAAGUGAGGAAGCGGUACCCAACGAAGAAGCACCGGCUAACUCCGUGCCAGCAGCCGCGGUAAUAC
rnacentral:rRNA from 1 species